rnacentral:misc_RNA from 1 species
GGCAAAACGGUCAAAAAUGGCAAAAAAGUUCAUAUUCUGGUGGUAACAUACCCAGCUCAAGGCCACAUAAAUCCCCUUUUACAAUUCUCCAAACGCCUCCACCACAAAGGCGCCGCCGUGACCUUCGUCAUCACCAAAUUCCUUUUCAACAACAGCCCCACCGCCAACCGCCCUCCGCCCUUCCCCGUCGAGACCAUCUCCGACGACCAUGACGCCGGCGGAUUUCUCUCCGCCGUCUCCGUCCCUGACUACCACGAAC